rnacentral:rRNA from 1 species
ACGCAGUCUGACCAGCCAUGCCGCGUGGAGGAUUAAGGCCCUCUGGGUUGUAAACUCCUUUUAUCUGGGAAGAAAUGCAUUUUUUCUUAAGUGCGUUGACGGUACCAGAGGAAUAAGCACCGGCUAACUCCGUGCCAGCAGCCGCGGUAAUACGGAGGGUGCAAGCGUUAUCCGGAUUCACUGGGUUUAAAGGGUGCGUAGGCGGGCAGGUAAGUCCGUGGUGAAAUCUCUGAGCUUAACUCAGAAACUGCCAUGGAUACUAUUUGUCUUGAAUGUUGUGGAGGUAAGCGGAAUAUGUCAUGUAGCGGUGAAAUGCUUAGAUAUGACAUAGAACACCAAUUGCGAAGGCAGCUUACUACACAAAUAUUGACGCUGAGGCACGAAAGCGUGGGGAUCAAACAGGAUUAGAUACCCUGGUAGUCCACGCCCUAAACGAUGAUUACUCGACAUCAGCGAUACACUGUUGGUGUCUGAGCGAAAGCAUUAAGUAAUCCACCUGGGAAGUACGAUCGCAAGAUUGAAACUCAAG